GACAACGUGGCCGAGCGGUUAAGGCGAUUGACUAGAAUAUCUAAGGCAUUGAGUCUACUAUCAAUUGGAGUUUCUCCGCGUAGGUUCAAAUCCUGCCGUUGUCG
rfam:Puccinia sorghi strain RO10H11247 Scaffold_1846, whole genome shotgun sequence.